rnacentral:rRNA from 1 species
CCUACGGGAGGCAGCAGUAGGGAAUCUUCCACAAUGGGCGAAAGCCUGAUGGAGCAACGCCGCGUGAGUGAAGAAGGAUUUCGGUUCGUAAAACUCUGUUGUAAGGGAAGAACAAGUACAGUAGUAACUGGCUGUACCUUGACGGUACCUUAUUAGAAAGCCACGGCCAACUACGUGCCAGCAGCCGCGGUAAU